rnacentral:rRNA from 1 species
ACGAACGCUGGCGGCGUGCUUAACACAUGCCAGUCGAACGGGCCCGCUCUCUUUUUUGGGGGUGGGUUGAGUGGCGAACGGGUGAGUAUCACGUGAGUAACCUGCCCCCUGCUCCUGGAUAACUGCUUGAAAGGGCGGCUAAUACGGGGUGUGCCGGCUGGUCCGCAUGGGCCUGGUCGGGAUAGUUUCAUCUUCGGGUGUUUCGGUGGGGGAUGGGCUCGCGGCCUAUCAGCUUGUUGGUGGGGUGAUGGCCCACCAAGGCGGUGACGGGUAGCCGGCCUGAGAGGGUGGGCGGCCACACUGGGACUGAGACACGGCCCAGACUCCUGCGGGAGGCAGCAGUGGGGGGUAUUGCACAAUGGGCGGAAGCCUGAUGCAGCGACGUCGCGUGAGGGAUGGAGGCCUUCGGGUUGUGAACCUCUUUCUCCGGCGGUGAAGGCCCUGUCCGUUGCGGCGGGGUUGACGGUAGCCGGGUAUGAAGCGCCGGCUAACUACGUG